UGAAGGUAAGGGAAAACUGCGAAGAAACAUUGUCAUACAUACCAUUUGGUUUUAUCAACAAUUCCUGUACAUAUUGUUCUUGUAUUAGCUGUAAAUCCCCAGACAUUAUAACAAGCGGUUCCCUGGCCCAGGGUGUGGGAAAAGGUCAUCCCAUCAAAAUCUCAAAUGGAGAUAAUUUAGUCACCUUGUGGGGAUUCAUUC